UACAGAGGUCUCAAGCGUUGUUCGGAUUCAUUGGGCGUAAAGGGUGCGUAGGCGGCGCGGUAAGUCGGGUGUGAAAUCUCGGAGCUUAACUCCGAAACUGCAUUCGAUACUGCCGUGCUUGAGGACUGGAGAGGAGACUGGAAUUUACGGUGUAGCGGUGAAAUGCGUAGAUAUCGGGAGGAACACCGAUGGCGAAGGCAGGUCUCUGGGCUGACACUGACGCUCAUGCACGAAAGCGUGGGGAGCAAACAGG
rnacentral:rRNA from 1 species